AGCGGGAGCGUGGAGACUCGGAGCCCGAGCUCCACCUUUGUAGUUCCCUACAUGUUUCCUAGUUCCUCAGAAAAUGAAUAGAUCUCAGAGAAAGAGAGAG